UACGAAGGGGGGCUAGCGUUGUUCGGAGUUACUGGGCGUAAAGCGUGCGCAGGCGGCUAUGCAAGACAGAUGUGAAAUCCCCGGGCUCAACCUGGGAACUGCAUUUGUGACUGCAUGGCUAGAGUACGGUAGAGGGGGGAUGGAAUUCCGCGUGUAGCAGUGAAAUGCGUAGAUAUGCGGAGGAACACCGAUGGCGAAGGCAAUCCCCUGGACCUGUACUGACGCUCAUGCACGAA
rnacentral:rRNA from 1 species